rnacentral:rRNA from 1 species
UACGUAGGGAGCAAGCGUUAUCCGGAUUUAUUGGGUGUAAAGGGUGCGUAGACGGGAGUGCAAGUUGGUUGUGAAAUCCCUCGGCUCAACUGAGGAACUGCAACCAAAACUAUACUUCUUGAGUGCUGGAGAGGAAAGUGGAAUUCCUAGUGUAGCGGUGAAAUGCGUAGAUAUUAGGAGGAACACCAGUGGCGAAGGCGACUUUCUGGACAGUAACUGACGCUCAUUCCCGAAAGCGUGGGGAGCAAAUAGG